CCUUCGCGACUUGUUUCAGGUGCUCUGCAGGCGAUGGCCUGGCAGGGUGAAACAGGGAAGCCGGUGGGCGCGCAAGGCGCGCGAAUCCGGCGCUGCCCCCGCAACGGUAGGUGAGUCAAGGCCGCGCAGGGCCACUGGGUGUUCGACCCGGGAAGGCGCGCGGUCCCGGGUGUUCAUGGCCCCGCUCACAAGCCCGGAGACCGGCCUGUUACAGCCAACGGCAU
rnacentral:ncRNA from 1 species